rnacentral:rRNA from 1 species
CGAGAAAGCCCGCAAGGGUGAGUAAAGCGGCGCACGGGUGCGUAACACGUGGAUAAUCUGCCCUGGAGUCCGGAACAACUCGCCGAAAGGCGAGCUAAUGCCGGAUGAGACCACGGGGGCUUCGGCCCCUGAGGGAAAAGGUGGCCUCUGUACACAAGCUAUCGCUUCAGGAUGAGUCCGCGGCCCAUCAGCUAGUUGGCGGGGUAAUGGCCCACCAAGGCAACGACGGGUAGCUGGUCUGAGAGGACGAUCAGCCACACUGGAGCUGAGACACGGUCCAGACUCCUACGGGAGGCAGCAGUGGGGAAUCUUGCGCAAUGGGCGAAAGCCUGACGCAGCAACGCCGCGUGUGUGAUGAAGGUCUUCGGAUCGUAAAGCACUGUCGCGAGGGACG